GUUUGAUCCUGGCUCAAGACGAACGCUGGCGGCGUGCUUAACACAUGCAAGUUGAACGGUAUGUCAUGGAAGCUUGCUGAAGUGACAUAUAGUAGCGAACGGGUGAGUAAUGCAUGAUAAUUUAUCCUUAGGAGGGGGACAACAGCUGGAAACGGCUGCUAAUACCCCGUAUGCCGGAAGGUGAAAGGUGCGAGAGUGCCGCCUGGGGUUGAGCUCAUGUCCUAUCAGCUAGUUGGUGGGGUAACGGCCUACCAAGGCGACGAUUGGUAUCCGAACUGAGAGGUUGAUCGGACGCAUUGGGACUGAGACACGGCCCACACUCCUACGGGAGGCAGCAGUGGGGAAUAUUGCGCAGUGGGGGCAACCCUGACGCACCAACGCCGCGUGAAGGAUGAAGGCUUUCGGGUUGUAAACUUCUUUGAUCGGGGACGAAGAUGACGGUACCCGAGGAACAAGCCACGGCUAACUACGUGCCAGCAGCCGCGGUAAUACGUAGGUGGCAAGCGUUGUCCGGAAUUACUGGGUGUAAAGGGCGUGUAGGCGGGGAGACAAGUCAGAUGUGAAAUACCGUGGCUUAACUGCGGGGGUGCAUCUGAAACUGUUUCUCUUGAGUGUCGGAGAGGAAAGUGGAAUUCCCAGUGUAGCGGUGAAAUGCGUAGAGAUUGGGAGGAACACCAGUGGCGAAGGCGGCUUUCUGGACGAUAACUGACGCUGAGGCGCGAAAGCGUGGGUAGCAAACAGGAUUAGAUACCCUGGUAGUCCACGCCGUAAACGAAUGGAUAUUAGGGGUAGGAGGUAUCGACCCUUUCUGUGCCGCAGUUAACCCAAAAGUAUCCCACCUGGGGAGUACGGCCGCAAGGUGGAAACUCAAAGAAAUGACGGGGGGCCCGCACAAGCAGUGGAGUAUGUGGUUAAUUUGAAGCAACGCGAAGAACCCUACCAGGGCUUGACAUACCCCUGACCGCUCUAGAGAUAGAGCUUCUCUUCGGAGCAGGGGAUACAGGUGGUGCAUGGUUGUCGUCAGCUCGUGUCGUGAGAUGUUGGGUUAAGUCCCGCAACGAGCGCAACCCCUGUUGUUAGUUGCCAGCAUUUAGUUGGGCACUCUAACGAGACUGCCGGUGAUAAAUCGGAGGAAGGUGGGGACGACGUCAAAUCAUCAUGCCCCUUAUGUCCUGGGCUACACACGUACUACAAUGGCGAUUACAGAGGGAAGCAAGACAGCGAUGUGGAGCAAAUCCCCAAAAGUCGCCCCAGUUCAGAUUGCAGGCUGCAACUCG
rnacentral:rRNA from 1 species